GCCGGGUGUGGUGGUGGGCACCUGUAAUCCCAGCUACUCAGGAGGCUGAGGCAUGAGAAUCGCUUGAACCUGGGAGGCAGAGGUUGCAGUGAGCAGAGAUCCUGCCACUGCACUCCAGCCUGGGUGACAGAGCGAGAACCUGUCUCAA
rnacentral:SRP_RNA from 1 species